AUGCAAGGCAUGCUCAGUUGAAUUGAACUAAAGGAAACAAAGAGAAAUGGAAAAAAAAAGAAAAAAAAUCUUGAAUCAGGUAUCAUUAUUCUAAUUUGAAUGAGGUUGGCAUUGCAUAUCAUGUAUUUUAAUUCAGACUCAGUCUUCUUUUCUUUUUUAUUUUUUUUUCAAUUCCUCUCUGUUAAGCUUUAAUUCCUGUGAUUCAAAUUCAAUUAUCAUUCUACGUACUAUUCAAAUUCAAAUUCAAUUAUCAAUUAGAGCAAACUUGGAUGUGUGGGAUUAAUAUGAUAAAUUAGGCUAUUUUUUUUCUUUCAAAGAGAAGAUGAUGUAAGGAGAAGCAAGAACUAUUGAUUGUUUAAGGGGAAGAUUGCUUGCAGAGAGAGUGACUUCAAAGGCUGCAAAAGAAGAUGCAUAAAUCGUGGUCCAAUUACAUGAUUUGGAGCAGGUUAUUGACUAUUUUAAUAAGGCACUGGAGGGAUCAAGUAUAGAUCUGUCAUAAGCCAGUAUCUCUGUGUAGAUUGAUCUUGGGAAACAAACAAUUACAUGACCGCCACUGCUAAGGCUAGAGCAAGAAUAUCUUCUACAGUGAAAGCUAUAGUUGAAGAGAGAUGAUCAAAGGGAGAGAACUCUGCUGGUAAUAAGAAAAGUGAUUUCCUUGAAAUACUCCUAUCAGCAAAUAGCCUGUCCGAGGAUGAAAGGGUGAGCUUUGUACUAGAUUCUUUGUUGGGUGGGUAUGAAACCACCUCCCUCCUCAUGGCAUUGGCAGUUCUCUUCUUGGGUCAAUCACCAGCUUCUCUGCAACAACUGAGGGUAGACACCAUCUUUCUCUCUCCUCCCCUUCUAGCCAUUUCAAGCUCCAUAUAAAAAAGUUGAAAUUCAAUGGCCUUCUUUGAAAUUUUUUAUAAAAAGAAAAGAGAGAGAAAAUGAAAGAAACCCUUUUUGUUUUUGAAACAGUCAGAGCAUGAAAGUAUAAGAAAUGUGAAAGGAAAAGAAGAGUACUUGAACUAGGAUGACUAUAAGAAAAUGGAGUUUACUCAACAUGUCAUUAAUGAAGCUCUUAGAUGUGGGAACAUGGUCAAGUUUGUGCACCGAAAGGCCCUCAAAGAUGUCAGA